GCAGAGCAUCCUACGGGAGGCAGCAGUGGGGAAUAUUGCACAAUGGGCGCAAGCCUGAUGCAGCCAUGCCGCGUGUAUGAAGAAGGCCUUCGGGUUGUAAAGUACUUUCAGCAGUGAGGAAGGUGGGUAUGUUAAUAGCAUAUUCAUUUGACGUUAGCUGCAGAAGAAGCACCGGCUAACUCCGUGCCAGCAGCCGCGGUAAUACGGAGGGUGCGAGCGUUAAUCGGAAUUACUGGGCGUAAAGCGCAUGCAGGUGGUUUGUUAAGUCAGAUGUGAAAGCCCCGGGGCUCAACCUCGGAAUUGCAUUUGAAAACUGGCAAACUAGAGUACUGUAGAGGGGGGUAGAAUUUCAGGUGUAGCGGUGAAAUGCGUAGAGAUCUGAAGGAAUACCGGUGGCGAAGGCGGCCCCCCUGGACAGAUACUGACACUCAGAUGCGAAAGCGUGGGGAGCAAACAGGAUUAGAUUACCCCUGGUAG
rnacentral:rRNA from 1 species